AAAGAACUGAGCCAAAUGGAAGCACGAGGAAGAGUGGAGAGACAUCACAUGGGAGGAGCCUCAGGUUCUCGUAGGAGUGGGAGCUCGGUAAAUAUUGAUUGAGAAACAAUUGAUGUUGAACAAGUUGUUAACAUCUUUGGACCUGUUCCUCGCUUUCAACAGAAGAGAAACGCUGGGCAGAGGGCUGUAAACUCCGAGUAGCUGGCGUGCAAAAAUGGACUGUUUGGUGUUGGAGGCUGAGCAGAGGUGGGCAAAAAGGAACAGAAGGAGAGUAACUGGUGAAGAAGGAGCAAAGAGUGAGGCACAAAAUGAAGUCUCACCAUGUUGCCCAAGCUGGUCUCAAACUCUUGGCCUCCAGAAAUCCUCCAACUUCAGCCUCCCAAGGUGCUGGGAUUACAGGUAAUAGCCACUGUGCCCAGUUAAGGUGCAACUUCUUUAUGGAGCUUUUCUUUACUUCUCCAAGCAAAAUUAGUUGCUCCCUUCUCUAUGUUCUCUGUACAUUUUAGUUUGUACCAUAUAAAAUUGCCUCUAUGUAACCAUUUUUGACCUACAAAUCUGGCAAUUUUAUAUCAUUUAGCCAAAUAUCUCCUUAUCCCAUUGUAUUACAUUUUGGGUUGGCAUGUGUCUAUCCUCUCUCCAUUCCACCCCCCAGAAUGUAAGUUCCAUGACAGUUAACAGUAAGAGCUGACUUUCUGUGUGCUUCCUAGGAGGCCAGGACUGUUCUACACACUUGAAGUAAAUUAACUCUUUUAAUUCUUAGAGCAAUGGUGUAAUGAUGAUACUUUUCUAUGCAUAGUACCACUAGAUAAGUGAGGAAGCUGAGGCACACAGAAGCUGUAUUUGUCAAGGUUCUCCAGAAGGACAGAACUAGUCAGAUAUAUGUCUAUAUUAAAGGGAGUUUAUUAGGGAGAAUUGGCUCACACAGUCAAAGGUGAAGUUCCACACAAUAGCCACCUGCAAGCUGAGGAAGAAAGAAGCCAGUAGUGGCUCAGUUUGAGUUCAAAAGCCUCAAAAGCAGGAAAGCCUACAGUGCAACCUUCAGUCUGUGGCAAGGCCUGAGAGCCCCAGCAAACCACUGGUGUAAGUAGUCCAAGGGUCCAAAGGCCAAAAAACCUGGAGUCUGAUGUCCAAGAGCAAGAGGAACAGAUGGAAGCAUCCAGCACAGGAGAAAGAUGAAAGCCAGAAGACCCAGCAAGACAGCUUAUCCCACCUCCUUCCACCUGCUUUAUUCUAGCCACGCUGGCAGCUGAUUGGGUGGUGCCCACUCACAUUGAGGGUGGGUCCAGUCCACUGACUCACAUGUCAAUCUCCUCUGGCAACAUUCUCACAGACGCACCCAGAAACAACACCUUACCGGCUAUCUAGACAUCCUGCAAUCCAAUCAAGCUGACACCCAGUAUUAAUCAUCACAGAAUCUAAGUAACUUGCCCAGCCUCACAAAACUUGACAGAGCUUGGAUUUGAGCCUAGGUUAUCUGUCUUUAAGGUCCAGAGACUUAACCAUUUCUCUAAAAUCCUUCUAUUACUAUUCUGUCUGGUUGUGUUUUGUUCACCACUGUAUUCCCAGGGCUAGCACAAGGCUAGGGACCUACUAGGUGCUUAGUAAAGAGGUGAAUUAAAUGAUUUUGUACCAGUCACAUUUACUGAGCACCUACUCUGUGCUCCCAGAUGUUGUGGUGGUAGGCACCAAGAAAAAUAAGGCCCAGUCCCCACCUUUAUGGAGAUGGUGGCCAAGCAGGGGCCCCUGGAAACAGUGUAGCAUUUACAUUGAGGAGGCUGAACGUCAGAGGUGAGGAGAACUAUGGAUGGCCUGUUGUGUACCUGGAGGUAGAACAGGUGAUGGAGAAGUCCUGAGAAAGAGAAGGGUAGAAUUAUCCAUGUGAAGGAGGGUCCAGGUUCAAUGCAGAUGUGUUCUAGACAGAUGGAGCAGCUUAUGCAAA
rnacentral:lncRNA from 10 species